UCUCCGUAGGUGAACCUGCGGAGGGAUCAUUACAGAGUUCAUGCCCUACCGGGUAGAUCUCCCACCCUAUGUUAUUAUUACUUUGUUGCUUUGGCGGGCCGUUAGGCUCCGGCCCGACUUCCGGCCCCGGCUGGUAAGCGCCCGCCAGAGGACCCAAAACCCUGAAUAUUAGUGUCGUCUGAGUACUAUAUAAUAGUUAAAACUUUCAACAACGGAUCUCUUGGUUCUG
rnacentral:misc_RNA from 1 species